AUUGAACGCUGGCGGCAGGCCUAACACAUGCAAGUCGAACGAGUGGCGGACGGGUGAGUAAUGUCUGGGAAACUGCCUGAUGGAGGGGGCUAACUACUGGAAACGGUAGCUAAUACCGCAUACCAUCGGAUGUUCCCAGAUGGGAUUAGCUAGUAGGUGGGGUAAAGGCUCACCUAGGCGACGCUCCCUAGCUGGUCUGAGAGGAUGACCAGCCACACUGGAACUAAGACACGGUCCAGAUCCCUACGGUAGGCAGCAGUGGGGAAUAUUGCACAAGGGGCGCAAGCCUGAUGCAGCCAUGCCGCGUGUAUGAAGAAGGCCUUCGGGUUGUAAAGUACUUUCAGCGGGGAGGCGUUACCCGCAGAAGAAGCACCGGCUAACUCCGUGCCAGCAGCCGCGGUAAUUC
rnacentral:rRNA from 1 species